CCUACGGGUGGCAGCAGUGAGGAAUAUUGGUCAAUGGACGAGAGUCUGAACCAGCCAAGUAGCGUGAAGGAUGACUGCCCUAUGGGUUGUAAACUUCUUUUAUAUGGGAAUAAAAUGUUCCACGUGUGGGAUUUUGUAUGUACCAUAUGAAUAAGGAUCGGCUAACUCCGUGCCAGCAGCCGCGGUAAUCCGGAGGAUCGGAGCGUUAUCCGGAUUUAUUGGGUUUAAAGGGAGCGUAGGUGGAUUUUUAAGUCAGUUGUGAAAGCUUGCGGCUUAACCGUAAAAUUGCAGUUGAAACUGGCAGUCUGGAGUACAGUAGAGGUGGGCGGAAUUCGUGGUGUAGCGGUGAAAUGCUUAGAUAUCACGAAGAACGCCGAUUGCGAAGGCAGUUCACUGGACUGCAACUGACACUGAGGCUCGAAAGUGUGGGUAGCAAACAGGAUUAGAUACCCCGGUAGUC
rnacentral:rRNA from 1 species